GGUCAGGUGGCCUCCAGACAUAAGCUUUAAGAGGGAUGGGUCCCUGCCAAUAUACACGGAGUUGGUGCACAGGGAAGACCUCACACCCUUACUCACACCGCAUGGUCAGAGAAUAGAAGGGAUAAGAUCACAGACCUACCAUGGAGAAUAGAAGAGGUAAGAUCACAGGCCUACCAUGGAGAAUAGAAGAGGUAAGAUCACAGGCCUACCAUGGAGAAUAGAAGAGGUAAGAUCACAGGCCUACCAUGGAGAAUAGAAGGGGUAAGAUCACAGGCCUACCUUGGAGAAUAGAAGAGGUAAGAUCACAGGCCUACCAUGGACGAUAUAAAGG
ensembl:lncRNA